rnacentral:rRNA from 1 species
UAAUACGUAGGUGGCAAGCGUUGUCCGGAAUUAUUGGGCGUAAAGGGCGCGUAGGCGGUACCCUAAGUCAGAUGUGAAAACCCGGGGCUUAACUCCGGACGUGCAUUUGAAACUGGGGAACUUGAGUGCAGGAGAGGUAAGUGGAAUUCCUAGUGUAGCGGUGAAAUGCGUAGAUAUUAGGAGGAACACCAGUGGCGAAGGCGACUUACUGGACUGUAACUGACGCUGAGGCGCGAAAGCGUGGGGAGCAAACAGGAUUAGAUACCCUGGUAGUCCACGCUGUAAACGAUGGAUACUAGGUGUGGGAGGUAUCGACCCCUUCCGUGCCGCAGUAAACGCAAUAAGUAUCCCGCCUGGGGAGUACGGCCGCAAGGUUG